rnacentral:rRNA from 1 species
AGUGAACGCUGGCGGUAGGCCUAACACAUGCAAGUCGAACGGCAGCACAGUAAGAUCUUGCUCUUACGGGUUGCGGGUGGCGGACGGGUGAGGAAUACAUCGGAAUCUACUUUUUCGUGGGGGAUAACGUAGGGAAACUUACGCUAAUACCGCAUACGACCUACGGGUGAAAGCAGGGGAUCUUCGGAACUUGCUCGCUUGCAGGAGCCGAUGUUGGGUUAGCGAGUGUGCGGGGUAUAGGCCCACCAAGGCGACGAUCCGUAGCUGGUCUGAGAGGAUGAUCAGACACAGUGGAACUGAGACACGGCACAGACUCAUACGAGGGGCAGCAGGGGGGAAUAUGGGAAAAUGGGCGAAAGCCUGAUCGAGACACACCGCGUGGGUGAAGAAGGCCUGCGGGUUGUAACGCUGUUUUGUGGGGAAAGAAAAGCAGCAGGUUAAAACCCCGCUGUUCGGCCGGUACCUAACGAAUAAGCACCGCCUAAUUUCGU